UGGGGAAUAUUGCACAAUGGGCGAAAGCCUGAUGCAGCAACGCCGCGUGCGGGAUGACGGCCUUCGGGUUGUAAACCGCUUUCAGCAGGGACGAAGUGAAAAUGACGGUACCUGCAGAAGAAGCACCGGCUAACUACGUGCCAGCAGCCGCGGUGAUACGUCGGGUGCGAGCGUUGUCCGGAAUUAUUGGGCGUAAAGUGCUUGUAGGCGGUCCGUUGCGUCGGAAGUGAAAACUCAGGGCUUAACCCUGGGCCUGCUGUCGAUACGGGCGGACUUGAGGAAUGUAGGGGAGAACGGAAUUCCUGGUGGAGCGGUGGAAUGCGCAGAUAUCAGGAGGAACACCAGUGGCGAAGGCGGUUCUCUGGACAUUUCCUGACGCUGAGAAGCGAAAGCGUGGGGAGCAAACA
rnacentral:rRNA from 1 species